rnacentral:rRNA from 1 species
UACGUAGGGGGCAAGCGUUGUCCGGAUUUAUUGGGCGUAAAGAGCGUGUAGGCGGCCAAGCAGGUCCGCUGUGAAAACUCGAGGCUCAACCUCGAGACGUCGGUGGAAACCGUUUGGCUAGAGUCCGGAAGAGGAGAGUGGAAUUCCCGGUGUAGCGGUGAAAUGCGCAGAUAUCGGGAAGAACACCCGUGGCGAAGGCGGCUCUCUGGGACGGUACUGACGCUGAGAGACGAAAGCGUGGGGAGCGAACAGG